AGGGUGUCGGGUUAAGUCCCAUAACGAGCGCAACCCCUAUCAUUAGUUGCCAUCAGGUCAAGCUGGGGACUCUAAUGAAACUGCCUACGCAAGUAGUGAGGAAGGUGGGGAUGACGUCAAAUCAGCACGGCCCUUACGUCCAGGGCUACACACGUGCUACAAUGGCCGGUACAGAGCGCAGCGAGGCCGCGAGGCGGAGCGAAUCGCUUAAAGCCGGUCCCAGUACGGAUUGGAGUCUGCAACCCGACUCCAUGAAGUUGGAAUCGCUAGUAAUCGCGCAUCAGCAUGGCGCGGUGAAUACGUUCCCGGGCCUU
rnacentral:rRNA from 1 species